UUGUAGCCAGUUAAGCCAACUGUGCUCUUUUCCCCAUGGGGGCCCGGUGUGCAAUGGCUGCAAACAGCAGCCUCCUCAGUAGUGUAUGUAGCCUGUUGCCUGUAUGGGUUGCCCUAAGGGACCUUGGAGGCAGCC